rnacentral:rRNA from 1 species
UGGGUAACCUGCCUCAAAGAGGGGAAUAGCCUCCCGAAAGGGAGAUUAAUACCGCAUAAUAUGUUUAAGUCGCAUGACUUUAACAUCAAAGGAUUUUUCUUUUAGAUCUUCCACUUUGAGAUGGACCCGCGGCGCAUUAGCUAGUUGGUGAGGUAACGGCUCACCAAGGCAACGAUGCGUAGCCGACCUGAGAGGGUGAUCGGCCACAUUGGAACUGAGACACGGUCCAGACCUCUACGGGAG